CCCUUAGAUGUUCUGGGCCGCACGCGCGCUACACUGAUGCAUUCAACGAGUCUAAAACCUGCUCUGAUAGGGGUGGGUAAUCUUUUGAAUGUGCAUCGUGAUUGGGAUAGAUGAUUGCAAUUUUUCAUCUUCAACGAGGAAUGCCUAGUAAACGCAAGUCAUCAGCUUGCAUUGAUUACGUCCCUGCCCUUUGUACACACCGCCCGCCGCUCCUACCGAUUGAAUGAUCCGAUGAAUAUCAUGGAUUGAGGAUGCAAGUAGGUUAGCCUAUCUUCAUCUUCGAGAAGUGAAGUAAAUCUUAUCAUUUAGAGGAAGGAGAAGUCGUAACA
rnacentral:rRNA from 1 species